GUGAGGAAUCUUCCACAAUGGGCGAAAGCCUGAUGGAGCAACGCCGCGUGCAGGAUGAAGGCCUUCGGGUUGUAAACUGCUUUUAUUAGCGAAGAAUAUGACAGUAGCUUAUGAAUAAGCACCGGCUAACUACGUGCCAGCAGCCGCGGUCAUACGUAGGGUGCAAGCAUUAUCCGGAGUGACUGGGCGUAAAGAGUUGCGUAGGUGGUCUGUAAAGCAUUUAGUGAAAUCUAACAGCUCAACUGUUAGGGUAUUAUUUGAACUUACAGACUUGAGAGUAGCAGAGGUAACUGGAAUUUCUAGUGUAGGAGUGAAAUCCGUAGAUAUUAGAAAGAACACCAAUGGCGUAGGCAGGUUACUGGGCUAUUUCUGACACUCAAGCACGAAAGCGUGGGGAGCAAACCGGAUUAGAAACCCGAGUAGUCC
rnacentral:rRNA from 1 species